GCCUGGAUGGCUCAGUCGGUUAAGCAUCCGACUUCGGCUCGGGUCAUGAUCUUGCCAUUUGUGAGUUCAAGCCCCGCAUCAGGCU
rnacentral:tRNA from 1 species